ensembl:lncRNA LINC00466 long intergenic non-protein coding RNA 466
GUAGCUUUUUUUUUUUUUUUUUUGAGACGGAGUUUUGCUCUUCUUGCCAAAAAUGUAGGUUUAAAACAGUAUAUUGGAAGUCCUAGAAGAUGAGGGAAGGAGGGCAAGGAACAAACAUUGAUUGAAAACCUCUUAGCUCCUACGUAGAGUGCUAGAAACUUUAUGUAUGAUUGCUUAUUUAUUGUUCACAACAACCCCUGUAAGGUAUUGCUUAUCAGCCCUAUUUUGUGGAUAGAAUGUCCAAGGCUAAGAGAAUUCAGACAGCUUCUUUGUUAGGAAGGGAUGGAGCCCAGAAUUCUCUGAUGUCUAUAGUGCUGUUGCCUCCCUCUCAGACCCAGGAACCAUGUCUUUAGAAUAUUGAUCGCAGGAAGUUUCCAGCUUGGGAAUUCCAACAAGAAAGAGAUGAUGCUAAAGGAUUUACUAAUGCCGAAUUUUACUGGCAAAAAAUUACUCUUUUAUUACAAACAAAUUCCUGAACAACACAGCUGUUUCCGCUUUUGAAUCCUUGUUGGCUAUGUUAAGCAGCAUUUGGCUGAAUGCUAAUCCUUAGAUUAAGCAUCUCUUAAUCAAUUUGUCCAUCAUUACUUUGAGCUUACAAACUGUUGUUCCAUGAAUAGUGGUUGUCUUUAAGAGGCAGUAAGAAAAGUAUCAGCGUCAUUAUUUGCUGUUUCAUACCCCUGUGACAGUACUCACAGUCUGUGAUGGGUGACAGAGGAAGCGGGGCAAAGGGGAAUGGUUAUGAUUUCAUUUCCACAGGCAGGUGACUGGUGGGCAUAUAGUAAUAUUGCUAAGGGCCUGUGCUUUGGCUUAAGGUUAGUUUCUGUUUUCAUGCUUGCUUCUCCGACUUGACUCCCUGUUUGAGGCGAAGGAAAAACAUUCAUGUCAUCUGCAUCAUCUGCAUCCUGUUGGCAUAACAUUGUGCAUUGAAGGAUUAAUCAACAUAACAGUUUUUUUCAUUUUUUUCAGCCUACUUCAUGCUUUGAACAGAAGAGUUUUAUCAGUUUUAAAUGUUUCUUCAUUUCUAUACCUUCUUUUAUCUGAGGAGCUUAAGCCAUUUUGUAGAGGCAUUAAGUAUUGCCUCAGUCUUAAUAUGUGAGACAAGGUGUGAGGAAUAUAGAGAUUCAUAAAAUAAUCCCCAUCUUCAAGGAACUCACAGUCAGGAAGAACAGAGCCUGCAACACAAAUAAUUGCAAUAUAGUAGAAGUGCCAAUAGGAGCUCUAUGAAGGGCGUGAAACAGGAAAGGCUACAUAGAGGAGAUGGCAGACACUCUGUGGAUUGUGACCUGUUGGUGGGCCAUGAAAUCAAUUUGGGGGUUUGAGAGCAUCAUUCUUUUAAUAAAACAGAAGAGAAUCAUCUGCAAUAAGGAACCCAUGGAUGAAUACCAUCUGGUCCUGGUGAUUUACUGCACAGAGUCCCUCAAGUUGCUCCAUACCUUUCUCCUGAGAGACUGAAGAAUCUCUGUCAAGGCCGUUCUCUGCUUUGCCAUAAAAUGUGUCCUUGGAACAAGAAUUUCCCCAUUGUCUUCUUCAAUAAAUACUGAUUCAAAGUAUUCA